rnacentral:lncRNA from 1 species
CUGAAGAAAACCCUCCACGAUUCCCAGUGUGUAUUCCCAGUGUCUGAGGAAUUCUUAAGAUUUAAUCCAUGGAUAAAACCAAAAGGAGUAGUAACAUCCACAUGAUCAAAAUUGAAUCUGUUUAAUGAUCAAUAAAAAACUCACGUUCACCAAUCACGGUAUGCUUAUAGAAGAUAUUUAAUCCAUGAGUGGUGAACGAAAGUAAAUUAGGGCAUCUUUUCUAGAUUUAUUUAUAUGACUGUUUGUUAAGGCUUUGCCUUCUGUGAUAGCUCUUCUAGACAUGAUAGGGAUACACAGGUAAUUUGACUUACAUUUUUGCCUAAUAUAUAAAGUUUAGGAAAAUGUAUAACAUACCCAUACAUAAUGUAGACAGGGAAAUCCAUAAAUUCAGUGGAAAGAAAAAAUAUUUAAAAUAUUUGUGUAUGUAGAAAGAAUGGAAAGGGGGAGGGGAGGGAGGAGAGGGAAAGAGAACAACUGGUGAGGAAAUACAGCACAAGCAAUGUUCCAACUGGCACGAAAGUGAAGGGAAUAUAAAGAGGUAACUAAAAAGAUAAAAUGCAAUGUUGGAUUUCAACAGUCUCAUGAAUAUCAAAUAGUGGAGUACAGCUGGGAAUUCAAGCCACUGUAGGAGAAAUUGCAAGAGUCUGGAAACCACAGCCAUCCAUUGGCUUCUGAGCCAUUUCCCCAUAGAUGUACACUCUGAGUGUGGCUACUGUAUCUUUGCAUUUAGCACAGUGCUUGGAACUGUGUAGAGGCUCAAUAAAUGAGUUUUGUGUUGAAUCUAAUCAUAAACCCAGAAAAAGUGAUCAGUGAGACACAAUGUGUACUCAGUGUACAUUUUUAGCCAAGAAGGAUUGUGUGCAAUAACAGAUGGAGAAGUAG